rnacentral:rRNA from 1 species
GACGAACGCUGGCGGCGUGCUUAACACAUGCAAGUCGAACGAAGCACUACUAGUUGAUUCCUUCGGGAUGAAGCAGGUAGUGACUGAGUGGCGGACGGGUGAGUAACGCGUGAGUAACCUGCCUUUCAGAGGGGGACAACAUUUGGAAACGAAUGCUAAUACCGCAUAACAUAUCUUUGUGGCAUCGCAGAGAUAUCAAAGGAGUUAAAUCCGCUGAAAGAUGGACUCGCGUCCGAUUAGCUAGAUGGUGAGGUAAUGGCUCACCAUGGCGACGAUCGGUAGCCGGACUGAGAGGUUGAUCGGCAACAUUGGGACUGAGACACGGCCCAGACUCCUACGGGAGGCAGCAGUGAGGAAUAUUGGUCAAUGGGCGAGAGCCUGAACCAGCCAAGUCGCGUGAAGGAUGACUGCCCUAUGGGUUGUAAACUUCUUUUAUAGGGGAAUAAAAAGUGGGACGUGUCCUAUAUUGUAUGUACCCUAUGAAUAAGCAUCGGCUAACUCCGUGCCAGCCGC